CCCUUAGAUGUUCUGGGCCGCACGCGCGCUACACUGAUUCAUGCAACAAGUUCUGUCCUUGGCUGAAAGGCCUGGGUAAUCUUUGAACGUGAAUCGUGCUGGGGAUAGAUGAUUGCAAUUAUUCAUCUUCAACGAGGAAUUCCUAGUAAACGCAAGUCAUCAGCUUGCAUUGAUUACGUCCCUGCCCUUUGUACACACCGCCCGUCGCACCUACCGAUUGAAUGGUCCGGUGAAAUCCUCGGAUCGAGCCGUGGGGCAACUCCGGUUCGAGAAGUUGAUUAAACCUUACCAUUUAGAGGAAGGUGAAGUCGUAACA
rnacentral:rRNA from 1 species